UGUUGGGUAGGGGAGCGUUGUGUAAGCUGAAGAAGGUGGUUCGAGAGGGCUGCUGGAGGUAUCACAAGUGCGAAUGCUGACAUAAGUAACGAUAAAGCGGGUGAAAGGCCCGCUCGCCGGAAGACCAAGGUUUCCUGUCCAACGUUAAUCGGGGCAGGGUGAGUCGGCCCCUAAGGCGAGGCUGAGAAGCGUAGUCGAUGGGAAAUGGGUUAAUAUUCCCAUACUUGGAUAAACUGCGAUGUGGGGACGGAGCAGGUUAGGUUAGCGUACGGAUGGAAGAGUACGUUUAAGUUGGUAGGUGGGGUGUUUAGGCAAAUCCGGGCACCUGAUAACACUGAGAGAUGAUGACGAGGCUCUACGGAGCUGAAGUAACUGAUACCCAACUUCCAGGAAAAGCCACUAAGCGAGAGGUUUAUCUAAACCGUACUGGAAACCGACACAGGUGGUCAGGUAGAGAAUACUAAGGCGCUUGAGAGAACUCGGGUGAAGGAACUAGGCAAAAUAGCACCGUAACUUCGGGAGAAGGUGCGCUGGCGUAGUGUGAAGUUCUUCGCGAAUGGAGCAUGAACCAGUCGAAGCGACGAGCUGGCUGCAACUGUUUAAUAAAAACACAGCACUCUGCAAACACGAAAGUGGACGUAUAGGGUGUGAUGCCUGCCCGGUGCUGGAAGGUUAAUUGAUGGUGUUAUCGAAAGAGAAGCACCUGAUCGAAGCCCCAGUAAACGGCGGCCGUAACUAUAACGGUCCUAAGGUAGCGAAAUUCCUUGUCGGGUAAGUUCCGACCUGCACGAAUGGCAUAAUGAUGGCCAGGCUGUCUCCACCCGAGACUCAGUGAAAUUGAAAUCGCCGUGAAGAUGCGGUGUACCCGCGGCUAGACGGAAAGACCCCGUGAACCUUUACUAUAGCUUGACACUGAACCUUGAAUUUUAAUGUGUAGGAUAGGUGGGAGACUAAGAAGCGGUAACGCCAGUUAUCGUGGAGUCGGUGUUGAAAUACCACCCUUUAACGUUUGAUGUUCUAACGAGGCGCCUGGGACAGGUGUUCGGACAGUGUCUGGUGGGUAGUUUGACUGGGGCGGUCUCCUCCCAAAGCGUAACGGAGGAGCACGAAGGUUGGCUAAUGACGGUCGGACAUCGUCAGGUUAGUGCAAUGGUAGAAGCCAGCUUAACUGCGAGACGGACAAGUCGAGCAGGUACGAAAGUAGGUCAUAGUGAUCCGGUGGUUCUGAAUGGAAGGGCCAUCGCUCAACGGAUAAAAGGUACUCCGGGGAUAACAGGCUGAUACCGCCCAAGAGUUCAUAUCGACGGCGGUGUUUGGCACCUCGAUGUCGGCUCAUCACAUCCUGGGGCUGAAGUAGGUCCCAAGGGUAUGGCUGUUCGCCAUUUAAAGUGGUACGCGAGCUGGGUUUAGAACGUCGUGAGACAGUUCGGUCCCUAUCUGCCGUGGGCGUUGGAGGAUUGAGGGGGGUUGCUCCUAGUACGAGAGGACCGGAGUGAACGCACCGCUGGUGUUCCAGUUGUUUCGCCAGAAGCAUUGCUGGGUAGCUAAGUGCGGAAGAGAUAAGUGCUGAAAGCAUCUAAGCACGAAACUUGCCCCGAGAUGAGUUCUCCCAGUCUAAGAGACUGUAAGGGUUGUUGAAGACGACGACGUAGAUAGGUGGGGUGUGUAAGCGGUGUGAGCCGUUGAGCUAACCCAUACUAAUUGCCCGAGAGGCUUAACUAUACAACGCUGAAGGGUUUU
rnacentral:rRNA from 1 species